rnacentral:rRNA from 1 species
ACGCUGGCGGCGUGCCUAAUACAUGCAAGUGGAACGCAUGAUUGAUACCGGAGCUUGCUCCACCAUUAAUCAUGAGUCGCGAACGGGUGAGUAACGCGUAGGUAACCUACCUCAUAGCGGGGGAUAACUAUUGGAAACGAUAGCUAAUACCGCAUAACAGUCUUUGACACAUGUUAGAGACUUAAAAGGAGCAAUUGCUUCACUAUGAGAUGGACCUGCGUUGUAUUAGCUAGUUGGUGAGGUAAAGGCUCACCAAGGCGACGAUACAUAGCCGACCUGAGAGGGUGAUCGGCCACACUGGGACUGAGACACGGCCCAGACUCCUACGGGAGGCAGCAGUAGGGAAUCUUCGGCAAUGGGGGGAACCCUGACCGAGCAACGCCGCGUGAGUGAAGAAGGUUUUCGGAUCGUAAAGCUCUGUUGUUAGAGAAGAACGUGUGUGAGAGUGGAAAGUUCACACAGUGACGGUAACUAACCAGAAAGGGACGGCUAACUACGUGCCAGCAGCCGCGGUAAUACGUAGGUCCCGAGCGUUGUCCGGAUUUAUUGGGCGUAAAGCGAGCGCAGGCGGUUCUGUAAGUCUGAAGUUAAAGGCAGUGGCU